UAUAUAUAUAAAGGUUGUGGAACCCUAAAAUCCCAGUAGAUAGAUGUUGGCAAGAAUGACGAUGUGGUCAAAAGUUUUCUCUCUCAGCGAGGGCUAUGCGAUGGCGGAUCCCUCCUUUCGUGCAAAGGUGCAACUCGCUGUGAAAGCCGCAAGUUGUACAUCUUUUGCCAUCUUUUUUUUGGGGACGACCCCCUUGCUCGUACGCGUCGUCAAAACGGAAAGGGAGAUCGCCAAGCUUGAGGAAGCCUUCCUCUCUGAAGCGGCUCUCAAGUGGAAACAGAGUGAAGAGGAACAGAGGCCUUAAGCAUCCAAGUGAAUUUAUUUUGCUGCUUUAUUUUAAGGGUGCCCUGAAUCUAAUGUAAUAAUAUGUCAGUAGUUGAUUCUAAUGUAAUAUGCGAGUAGUUAUCAUUAUUCGCAUAUGUAUGUAACCGUAUGUCAUUAAUGGUCUUAUUUUGAGACUCUAAAGUAUCACUAUUUAUAUACUACUGAAUGUUUAAGCAUUAGUCCCA